rnacentral:rRNA from 1 species
UACAGAGGUCUCAAGCGUUGUUCGGAUUCAUUGGGCGUAAAGGGUGCGUAGGCGGCGGGGCAAGUCGGAUGUGAAAUCUCAGGGCUCAACCCUGAAACUGCAUUCGAUACUGCCUUGCUCGAGGACUGGAGAGGAGAUUGGAAUUCACGGUGUAGCAGUGAAAUGCGUAGAUAUCGUGAGGAAGACCAGUGGCGAAGGCGGAUCUCUGGACAGUUCCUGACGCUGAGGCACGAAGGCCAGGGGGAGCAAACGGG